rnacentral:rRNA from 1 species
GGACACUGGCGGCGUGCUUACACAUGCACGUCGACGAGAACGGGUCUUAGCUUGCUAAGACUGUCAGCUAAGUGGCGGACGGGUGAGUAAUGUAUAGUUAAUCUGCCCUUCAGAGAGGGAUAACUACUGGAAACGGUAGCUAAUACCUCAUACACCUCCUAUAUUUAUUCAUUUUAUAGGGGAAGUGUUUUCCCGUGAAGGGUUGAAACUAUAUGGUAUCAGUGUAGUCUGGUGGGUGUAAUAUGCCUCACCCAAGCCCGAUGUACGCCUAGACUGUGUCUUGAGACGGAUGAUCACGCCACACUUGUGAACUGAGACACGGUCCAGACUCCUACGGGAGGCAGCAGUGGGGAAUAUUGCACAAUGGAGGAAACUCUGAUGCAGCAACGCCGCGUGGAGGAUGACGCAUUUCGGUGUGUAUACUCCUUUUAUAUAGGAAGAUAAUGACGGUACUAUAUGAAUAAGCACCGGCUAAACUCCGUGCCAGCAGCCGCGGUAAUACGGAGGGUGCACGCGUUACUCGGAAUCACUGGGCGUAAAGCGCGCGCAGGCGGUCUUAAUAAGUUGGAUGUGACAUUCUAGGGCUCAACCGUAGGACUUGCAUUCCACACUGUUAGACUACAGUGUGGGCGCGGGAGAUGGACAUACCUGUGUAGGGGUAAAACCGUCCAAUACUAGAAUACAAAGCGACGCAACUCUGG